GACCCAAUAGCACAAUGGCUAGUGUGCCUGCUAUCGGUGAGAGUCGAGGAUUGCUCAGCGGGAGGUCCCCGUUCAAUUCGGGGUUGGGUCA